rnacentral:rRNA from 1 species
UACGAAGGGGGCUAGCGUUGCUCGGAAUCACUGGGCGUAAAGGGUGCGUAGGCGGGCCUUUAAGUCAGGGGUGAAAUCCCGAGGCUCAACCUCGGAACUGCCUUUGAUACUGGAGAUCUUGAGUCCGGAAGAGGUAAGUGGAACUGCGAGUGUAGAGGUGAAAUUCGUAGAUAUUCGCAAGAACACCAGUGGCGAAGGCGGCUUACUGGUCCGGAACUGACGCUGAGGUGCGAAAGCGUGGGGAGCAAACAGG